rnacentral:rRNA from 1 species
UACAGAGGUCCCAAGCGUUGUUCGGAUUCAUUGGGCGUAAAGGGUGCGUAGGUGGCGCCGUAAGUCAGGUGUGAAAUCUAUGGGCUCAACUCAUAGUCUGCAUCGGAAACUGCCGGGCUUGAGUAUGGGAGAGGUGAGUGGAAUUCCUGGUGUAGCGGUGAAAUGCGUAGAUAUCAGGAGGAACACCUGUGGCGAAAGCGGCUCACUGGACCAUAACUGACGCUGAUGCACGAAAGCUAGGGGAGCAAACAGG